AUUGAACGCUGGCGGCAGGCCUAACACAUGCAAGUCGAACGAGUGGCGGACGGGUGAGUAAUGUCUGAGAAACUGCCUGAUGGAGGGGGAUAACUACUGGAAACGGUAGCUAAUACCGCAUACCAUCAGAUGUGCCCAGAUGGGAUUGGCUUGUUGGUGGGGUAACGGCUCACCAGGGCGACGAUCCCUAGCUGGUCUGAGAGGAUGACCGGCCAAAUUGGAAUUGUAACACGGUCCAGAUCCCUACGGGAGGCAGAAGUGGGGAAUAUUGCACAAUGGGCGAAAGCCUGAUGCAGCAAUGCGGCGUGUAUGAAGAAGGCUUUCGGGUUGUAAAGUACGUUCAGCGGGGAGGCGUUACCCGCAGAAGAAGCACCGGCUAACUCCGUGCCAGCAGCCGCGGUAAUUC
rnacentral:rRNA from 1 species